UUGAAGAGUUUGAUCCUGGCUCAGAUUGAACGCUGGCGGCAUGGCUAAAACAUGCAAGUCGAACGAUCCCUUCGGGGAGAGUGGCGAAAGGGCGAGGAAUAGAAUCGAAUGUACCCCAAGGUGGGGGAUAGCUUCUGGAAACGGAAGGUAAUACCCCAUGUGCUCUACGGAGGAAAGGUUUACCGCCUUGGGAGCAGCGAUUCUCCUAUCAGGUAGUUGGUGAGGUAACGGCUCACCAAGCCGAAGACGGGUAGCGGGUGUGAGAGCAUGACCCGCCGCAUCGGGACUGAGACACUGCCCGGACUCCUACGGGAGGCUGCAGUAACGAAUCUUCCGCAAUGGGCGAAAGCCUGACGGAGCAAUGCCGCGUGUGGGAUCAA
rnacentral:rRNA from 1 species